CUAGACACGAGGCCCUGCAGAAACUUACCAUCUUCUUUCAGCACAACAAAGAUGACUUUGGUGACAUCCCUGGAAGUGGCGAAGCAACACCUACAAAUGCUGAGCCGUCAAACUUCUUGUGUGCUGUUGAGGAGCCUCCAUAUCCUGAACAGGUGGUUGACUUCACAGAGCUGGAGCUUCUUCCUCCCCCGCCGCUGUAUGCUGACACCUUCUGAACUUGAGCUGUGCUGUUCACUUUUUGGAACCGUGAAGAAUAUCUGCCAUCGGGACCAGUGUGCCAUGUGUUUGAAAAUGUCUUUGGCUCCUGUACAGUGUAAAAAAGGAAACAAUCAUGAAUGGAGCUGCUGAUGUGACUGCAUUAUGAUUCUGAGUUAACCCUUUUGUUUAAUUUUGUUGUGCACAUUUCACGUUGUGUUCUGCACUUUACUUUCCUCUGAUGGUACUCUUCAUGAAGCACAAAUUGAAUCUUUGCUCUUCAUGCAAAGAACAAUGACAUGAAGUAGCCAACUGUUCACUUGUAGAGGCUUACAUUUAAGGAUUUGU